GAUGAAGAACGUAGUGAAAUGCGAUACUUGGUGUGAAUUGCAGAAUCCCGUGAACCAUCGAGUCUUUGAACGCAAGUUGCGCCCGAAGCCAUUAGGCCGAGGGCACGCCUGCCUGGGCGUCACACGUCGUUGCCCCCCCAUCUACUCCUUCGGGAUUGCGGGGGGCGGAUGAUGGCCUCCCGUGCGCCUCGCCGCGCGGUUGGCAUAAAUGCCAAGUCCUCGGCGACGCACGCCACGACAAUCGGUGGUUGCGAAACCUCGGUUGCCCGUCGUGUGCGGUCGUCGCGCAUCGAGGGCUCGAAAAAAUUGCCGGGUUCCGGCUCGGCUUUCAACGCGACCCCAGGUCAGGCGGGGUUACCCGCUGAAUUUAAGCAUAUCAAUAGCGGAGGA
rnacentral:misc_RNA from 1 species